rnacentral:rRNA from 1 species
UACGAAGGGGGGCUAGCGUUGCUCGGAAUUACUGGGCGUAAAGGGCGCGUAGGCGGAUGUUUAAGUUGGGGGUGAAAGCCCUCGGCUCAACCGAGGAAGUGCGCUCGAAACUGCAUUGCUUGAGUACCGGAGAGGAUGGCGGAAUUCCCGAAGUAGAGGUGAAAUUCGUAGAUAGUCGGGAGGAACACCGGUGGCGAAGGCGGCCAUCUGGACGGAUACUGACGCUGAGACGCGAAAGCGUGGGGAGCAAACAGG